UACGGAGGGUGCAAGCGUUGCUCGGAAUUAUUGGGCGUAAAGGGUAGGUAGGUGGUCUCGUUUGUCUGCGGUGAAAGCCUUGGGCUUAACCUAAGAAGUGCCGCAGAAACGGCGAGACUGGAGUCCUGGAGAGGGUCGUGGAAUUCCCGGUGUAGCGGUGAAAUGCGUAGAGAUCGGGAGGAACACCAGAGGCGAAAGCGGCGACCUGGACAGGUACUGACACUCAACUACGAAAGCGUGGGGAGCAAACAGG
rnacentral:rRNA from 1 species